rnacentral:rRNA from 1 species
UACAGAGGUCUCAAGCGUUGUUCGGAUUCAUUGGGCGUAAAGGGUGCGUAGGCGGCGUGGUAAGUCGGAUGUGAAAUCUCGGAGCUUAACUCCGAAACUGCAUUCGAUACUGCCGUGCUUGAGGACUGGAGAGGAGACUGGAAUUUACGGUGUAGCGGUGAAAUGCGUAGAUAUCGUAAGGAAGACCAGUGGCGAAGGCGGGUCUCGUGGACAGUUCCUGACGCUGAGGCACGAAGGCC